rnacentral:rRNA from 1 species
CCUACGGGGUGCAGCAGUGGGGAAUAUUAGACAAUGGGCGAAAGCCUGAUCCAGCCAUGCCGCGUGUGUGAAGAAGGCCUUCGGGUUGUAAAGCACUUUCAGUGGGGAAGAAAGCCUUGGGGCUAAUACCCUCGAGGAAGGACAUCACCCACAGAAGAAGCACCGGCUAACUCCGUGCCAGCAGCCGCGGUAAUACGGAGGGUGCGAGCGUUAAUCGGAAUUACUGGGCGUAAAGCGCGCGUAGGCGGUCUGAUAAGCCGGUUGUGAAAGCCCCGGGCUCAACCUGGGAACGGCAUCCGGAACUGUCAGGCUAGAGUGCAGGAGAGGAAGGUAGAAUUCCCGGUGUAGCGGUGAAAUGCGUAGAGAUCGGGAGGAAUACCAGUGGCGAAGGCGGCCUUCUGGACUGACACUGACGCUGAGGUGCGAAAGCGUGGGUAGCAAACAGGAUUAGAUACCCCAGUAGUC